rnacentral:rRNA from 1 species
UNUGACUUGAGUGCAGAAGGGGAGAGUGGAAUUCCAUGUGUAGCGGUGAAAUGCGUAGAUAUAUGGAGGANCACCAGUGGCGAAAGCGGCUCUCUGGUCUGUCACUGACGCUGAGGCUCGAAAGCGUGGGUAGCGAACAGGAUUAGAUACCCUGGUAGUCCACGCCGUAAACGAUGAGUGCUAGGUGUUAGGCCCUUUCCGGGGCUUAGUGCCGGAGCUAACGCAAUAAGCACUCCGCCUGGGGAGUACGACCGCAAGGUUGAAACUCAAAGGAAUUGACGGGGGCCCGCACAAGCGGUGGAGCAUGUGGUUUAAUUCGAAGCAACGCGAAGAACCUUACCAGGUCUUGACAUCCCGAUGCUAUUCUUAGAGAUAGGAAGUUACUUCGGUACAUCGGAGACAGGUGGUGCAUGGUUGUCGUCAGCUCGUGUCGUGAGAUGUUGGGUUAAGUCCCGCAACGAGCGCAACCCUUAUUGUUAGUUGCCAUCAUUAAGUUGGGCACUCUAGCGAGACUGCCGGUAAUAAACCGGAGGAAGGUGGGGAUGACGUCAAAUCAUCAUGCCCCUUAUGACCUGGGCUACACACGUGCUACAAUGGUCGGUACAACGAGUUGCGAGCCGGUGACGGCAAGCUAAUCUCUGAAAGCCGAUCUCAGUUCGGAUUGGAGGCUGCAACUCGCCUCCAUGAAGUCGGAAUCGCUAGUAAUCGCGGAUCAGCACGCCGCGGUGAAUACGUUCCCGGGCCUUGUACACACCGCCCGUCACACCACGAGAGUUUGUAACACCCGAANU